rnacentral:rRNA from 1 species
UCCUGCUCAGUGAACUCAAACAGCCGCAGAAUUUUAUACUGUGCUAAGGUAGCAUAAUCACUUGUCUUCUAAUUAAAGAAUAGAAUGAACGGAAUAACGAAUUUUAACCUGUUUCACUUUUUUUCAAUAAAACUACUUAAAAGUAAAAACUCUUUUUUACAAAAAAAAGACGAUAAGACCCUAAAGAACUUUACUAAAGUUUAGCUGGGGCGGCUUUUUAAAAAAAUCUUAUCAUAUAUCUUUUAUCCUAAUUGUAUAAUCAAUGUUACCUUAGGGAUAACAGCAUAAUUUAAUUUUUCAGCUCUUAUUUAAAAUUAAGAUUAUGACCUCGAUGUUGAAUUAAAUAUCUAUUAAACGAAAAAAAUUAACAAGAAAGUCUGUUCGACU